rnacentral:misc_RNA from 1 species
GAAAGUAAGUGAAGUGGUUCCUUAACAUUUGUCUCUCUUUUAAAGUGGUUACUUAACAUCUAAAUCACUCAAUUACACUCAUAAAUCCAUAAAAACCUUAGCUAAAACUCAUUUCUUCUAAUAAUAGUACAAAUUAAGUUUUAAUAGGUAAGUUUUUCUUCCUCUUUUUCUUGUGAAAUAUUAAGUUUAAAUUAACUUCCUUUAUUAUUUAAUUGUGAUUUCUACGGAAAAAAAAAUUAAGAGAGGCAAGUUUAGGAUAAAGAUUUGUGGUAAAGGUGAUAUUGAAGUAAGGGGUU